UACGUAGGGUGCAAGCGUUACUCGGAAUCACUGGGCGUAAAGAGCAUGUAGGCGGAUUAAUAAGUUUGAAGUGAAAUCCUAUAGCUUAACUAUAGAACUGCUUUGAAAACUGUUGAUCUAGAAUGUGGGGGAGGUAGAUGGAAUUUCUGGUGUAGGGGUAAAAUCCGUAGAGAUCAGAAGGAAUACCGAUUGCGAAGGCGAUUUACUGGAACACAAUUGACGCUGAGAUGCGAAAGCGUGGGGAGCAAACAGG
rnacentral:rRNA from 1 species